rnacentral:lncRNA from 1 species
AAAAUUAAUGGAUCUUCAUCUAUUGCAAAACUCUAAUUCUUCUUUCUUUCUUUUUUUAGUAAAAUGAUAUAUGAAGAAACAGAGAGAUCAUGAAAUGUAAAAAACCAGAAAACGAUCUCACUAUUUCAGCAGCUUAAUGACUGCUCUAUCUUCACUUGCGUUCCUGGCCCUCACUAAACGGUUCAAGAUCUUCAGAUACCGAGCUGCUUUGGUCCCCCAUCCCCUUCUUUCUCUAGGCCCAACAGCAUCAUCCCCAUGCUUGGCUAGAGAUAGAUUACAGGUCUCCUCUUCUUCUGUCAUAAGACGCCUGAGGGAACCACGCUCAUUAGAAACACGAGGAUCGGUCUCUGCCUCCAAAAGCGCACUCAGAGGCUUUCCUUUC